rnacentral:rRNA from 1 species
GAUGAACGCUGGCGGCGUGCCUAAUACAUGCAAGUCGAGCGAAUGGAUUGAGAGCUUGCUCUUAUGAAGUUAGCGGCGGACGGGUGAGUAACACGUGGGUAACCUGCCCAUAAGACUGGGAUAACUCCGGGAAACCGGGGCUAAUACCGGAUAACAUUUUGAACCGCAUGGUUCGAAAUUGAAAGGCGGCUUCGGCUGUCACUUAUGGAUGGACCCGCGUCGCAUUAGCUAGUUGGUGAGGUAACGGCUCACCAAGGCAACGAUGCGUAGCCGACCGGAGAGAGUGAUCGGCCACACUGGAACUGGGACCCGGCCCAGACUCCUACGGGAGGCAGCAGUAGGGAAUCUUCCGCAAUGGACGAAAGUCUGACGGAGCAACGCCGCGUGAGUGAUGAAGGCUUUCGGGUCAUAAAACUCUGUUGUUAGGGAAGAACAAGUGCUAGUUGAAUAAGCUGGCACCUUGACGGUACCUAACCAGAAAGCCACGGCUGACUACGUGCCAGCAGCCGCGGUAA